UACGAAGGGGGCUAGCGUUGCUCGGAAUCACUGGGCGUAAAGGGUGCGUAGGCGGGGUCUUUUAAGUCAGGGGUGAAAUCCUGGAGCUCAACUCCAGAACUGCCUUUGAUACUGAGGAUCUUGAGUUCGGGAGAGGUGAGUGGAACUGCGAGUGUAGAGGUGAAAUUCGUAGAUAUUCGCAAGAACACCAGUGGCGAAGGCGGCUCACUGGCCCGAUACUGACGCUGAGGCACGAAAGCGUGGGGAGCAAACAGG
rnacentral:rRNA from 1 species